CCACUGUCCGGUUAUUUUUCCUUGUUUGCUAUCAAUCGUACUUGUAGAAUCCCGCCACGCGCACACACACUCACUCACUGGCGGAUUGGCUACAGGGUGGCUGUGUUGGUGAAGCCCCCAAGCUCAACUGAAAACCCUAGCAAUGCGAGCUUGUUUUGCGCACCUUUUGAACCCUCCAUGGCUGAAGAAAGCAAAACCAUCGAGUCUCCGAGCAUUCUCAUCAUCAUCGUCUUCCUCCGAUUACUCCAACCAGUCCCGUGGUGGUCUUCCUCGCUUCUUCUCCCAAUUUCUCCCUCCCUCCAAGGGUGGUAUUGUGCGGAUACAAGGUGAUGAGUUUUGGCACAUGACUAAAGUCCUGAGGUUAAGCACAAAAGAUAGGGUAGAACUCUUCAAUGGGAAAGGAGUUAUAAUAGCAGGGUGCAUACAGAGUAUUGACCGCACUGGACUGGAAGUUGAGGUACUGGAAGAUCCACGAAUAGUUCUGCCUCAAAACACCCAGUGGCAUGUAUUUGCAGCCUUUGGGACUUUAAAAGGUGGCCGAGCUGAUUGGCUUGUUGAAAAAUGCACGGAACUCGGUGCUAGUAGUGUAACACCUCUGCUAACUGAACGUUCUCCUUCAAUCUCAGAAAAUCGGGUGGACAGAUUGGAACGUGUCAUUUUAGCCGCAGCUAAACAAUGUCAACGGCUGCAUGAAAUGACUCUGAAUCCUCCUACCAAAAUUGGUGGCCUUUUGCCUAUUGUUGCCCAGGCAAAGCCAUCUUUUGUGGCUGUAGCAGAGGCUACCCCAGUUUUUACUGCACUGAGUUCCUCUAGAAAGGAGUCGAGUGGGUCAAUAAUAAUUGGACCAGAAGGAGACUUCACCAAGAAAGAGGUUGAUAUGAUCAUAGAAGCAGGUGCAACUGCCGUUGGUCUAGGGACUCAUCGCCUCCGAGUUGAAACUGCUGCAAUAGCACUUUUGGCAACUGUAAUGUUAUGGUCUGACUCUUCGCAACCACUGGAUUCAUAAUCAAUCACAUACAGGAUUCAGGAGCCAAUUCAAACCAUUCAAUGACGUUCAAAACAAAAGAAGCAUGCCUAUCCAAAUCCUGAAUUCUUUUGUGCUAGUUUUUGUCCUAUCAGUUUUCACUAAUUGCUGUUCGGGUUGGGGAAGGUUUUUUCUGGGGUCCCUCUACCUGAUGCACAGAGGCAGAGUACGUCUUCUUUCUUGAGGGAUACACUGCAUCAUGGUAAAGAAUUGUUAUCUUGUACUAUCCAACUAACUGAACAACAGCUUUUAUGAGAUUUGUUUAGUGGUAUAGCCUUGUAGAUUCUGUUUUGCUGGUCAAAUUUGCAAAGAUAUUGAAUUAAAUUUACUUUUAAAUUAACUUCACAUGCUUUUGCCCCUAAAAUUUUUGUGGCAGUUGCACUUAGACAGGUUGCGUACAUUUCACCCUCAAUAACUUUCCAAAAUAUUUGCAAUUUCCCCCAAAACACUUCGGACCGCCUUCCUCAGUUGGCACCCUGACCGUUCUCCUAUCAGUUAGCAUGCCAUUCCGUUGCUGUCGUUGGUCGGCAAUAAUGCUUUCUGGAAUAGCUAGCCGAUAGUUAUCCACAUGUGUUGGAAGUCUUCUGUGUGCUAUAAUCUAUACGGUAAUGAAUCUCGUAUGUUAACGAAUAUUUCUCGUUGUUC